rnacentral:rRNA from 1 species
CCCGCUGAACUUAAGCAUAUCAAUAAGCGGAGGAAAAGAAACUAACAAGGAUUCCCCUAGUAACGGCGAGUGAAGCGGCAACAGCUCAAAUUUGAAAUCUGGCCCCCAGGGUCCGAGUUGUAAUUUGCAGAGGAUGCUUUUGGCGAGGUGCCUUCCGAGUUCCCUGGAACGGGACGCCAUAGAGGGUGAGAGCCCCGUCUGGUUGGACACCGAGCCUCUGUAAAGCUCCUUCGACGAGUCGAGUAGUUUGGGAAUGCUGCUCUAAAUGGGAGGUAUAUGUCUUCUAAAGCUAAAUAUUGGCCAGAGACCGAUAGCGCACAAGUAGAGUGAUCGAAAGAUGAAAAGCACUUUGAAAAGAGGGUUAAAUAGUACGUGAAAUUGUUGAAAGGGAAGCGCUCAUGACCAGACUUGGGCCCGGUGAAUCAUCCAGAGUUCUCGCUGGUGCACUUUGCCGGGCUCAGGCCGGCAUCAGUUUGCUCCGGGGGAUAAAGGCUUUGGGAAUGUGGCUCCUCCGGGAGUGUUAUAGCCCAUUGCACAAUACCCUGGGGCGGACUGAGGUUCGCGCAUUUAUGCAAGGAUGCUGGCGUAAUGGUCAUCAGCGACCCGUCUUGAAACACGG